GACGAACGCUGGCGGCGUGCUUAACACAUGCAAGUCGAACGAAGAGCGCUGGCUGCUUGCUUCUAUCCAUCUUAGUGGCGGACGGGUGAGUCACGAGUAAUCAACCUGCCCUUCAGAGGGGGACAACAGAUGGAAACGACUACUACUACCGCAUACGAUUUAAUCUCGGUAUCGAGGAUAGAGGAUAGGUGGCCUCUAAAUGUAAGCUGUCAUUGCAGGAGGUGAUUGCGUCUGAUUAGCUAGGUGGGGGGGUAACGGCCCUCCAAGGCGAUGGUGAGUAGCCGGACUGAGAGGAUGGACGGCCACAAUGGGACGGGGACACGGCCCAGUCGCCUACGGGAAGGAGCAAGGGGGAAACGUGCGGAAUGGAGGAAAGGCUGACGGAGGAACGCCGAGGGAGGGAUGAGGGCCGUCGGGUUGGAAAGCUCUGUUAAUCGGGACGAAAGGCCUUCUUGCGAACAGUUAGAAGGAGUGACGGUACCGGAAAAGAAAGCCACGGCUAACUACGUG
rnacentral:rRNA from 1 species